rnacentral:misc_RNA from 1 species
GAUGAAGAACGCAGCGAAAUGCGAUAAGUAAUGUGAAUUGCAGAAUUCAGUGAAUCAUCGAAUCUUUGAACGCACAUUGCGCCCGCCAGUAUUCUGGCGGGCAUGCCUGUUCGAGCGUCAUUACAACCCUCAGGCCCCCGGGCCUGGCGUUGGGGAUCGGCGGAAGCCCCCUGCGGGCACAACGCCGUCCCCCAAAUACAGUGGCGGUCCCGCCGCAGCUUCCAUUGCGUAGUAGCUAACACCUCGCAACUGGAGAGCGGCGCGGCCACGCCGUAAAACACCCAACUUCUGAAUGUUGACCUCGAAUCCGGUAGGAAUACCCGCUGAACUUAAGCAUAUCAAUAAGCGGAGGA